UACGAAGGGGGCUAGCGUUGCUCGGAAUUACUGGGCGUAAAGCGCACGUAGGCGGCUUAUUAAGUCGGGGGUGAAAUCCUGGAGCUCAACUCCAGAACUGCCUUCGAUACUGAUGAGCUUGAGUUCGGGAGAGGUGAGUGGAACUGCGAGUGUAGAGGUGAAAUUCGUAGAAUAUUCGCAAGAACACCAGUGGCGAAAGGCAGCCUCAGCUGGCCCGAU
rnacentral:rRNA from 1 species